rnacentral:rRNA from 1 species
GACGAACGCUGGCGGCGUGCUUAACACAUGCAAGUCGAACGGAAAGGCCCUGCUUUUGUGGGGUGCUCGAGUGGCGAACGGGUGAGUAACACGUGAGUAACCUGCCCUUGACUUUGGGAUAACUUCAGGAAACUGGGCUAAUACCGGAUAGGAGCUCCUGCUGCAUGGUGGGGGUUGGAAAGUUUCGGCGGUUGGGGAUGGACUUGCGGCUUAUCAGCUUGUUGGUGGGGUAGUGGCUUACCAAGGCUUUGACGGGUAGCCGGCCUGAGAGGGUGACCGGCCACAUUGGGACUGAGAUACGGCCCAGACUCCUACGGGAGGCAGCAGUGGGGAAUAUUGCACAAUGGGCGGAAGCCUGAUGCAGCAACGCCGCGUGCGGGAUGACGGCCUUCGGGUUGUAAACCGCUUUCGCCUGUGACGAAGCGUGAGUAACGGUAAUGGGUAAAGAAGCACCGGCUAACUACGUG